ensembl:lncRNA
GAAUUCUGUAAAAAUAAAUAAUAAUUCUACGUACGCUUCAUUUAUUGUUUUAAUUUGUAAUUACAGAUUCUGACGAGGUGUACCAAGAUGCUCCAGAGGAGCAAAAAAGCGUAACAGGUGCUUACGAUUCUGACGAGGCGUACUGAGAUUUACCCGAAGUCCUCCUGGGCCCUGCACAGAAUAAAACCAGCAAAACUGUUUCUCUGCAUAAUUGCCGAAAACAAACACUAGAUUGUUUUCUACCAAGUGCCCAAUUUGUAAGAAAUGACAACGUAGCUGUAUCAGGGUCCGAAGAUCCGCAAGAUGGCAGUGCUGAUCAUCUUACCCCACAUACUCCAGAGCAAGACGAUUUGAUGCAAGAUGGCUUGAGGCAAGAUAUCUUGACGAGCGCAAGUAGCGACGAGGGUGUUGUUCUGGGUAACUGUUGUUGCUUCUAUAACCCCACCUCGCGAAUCAUUGUUUGAGAUUUCUAAUAGUGAAGACGAAG